GCAACAGCUCCUUAAAGAGACAGGCGCGGCGUGCCCGUACUCCCCCCCCCCCCGCCGGGCGGGACGCCGUCUGUAGGCUUCCCGGUCCCCGGCCCGUCGUGGGGCUCGUCGGAGGGAGCGGCGGCAGCGCCGCGUUGCGCACCGUGAGGGACGGGCGAUCCCUGAGAACGGCUGUCGGGGCGGGCGCUGUCCUACCUUCGUCUCAUCUCCCCUGCCCAGGCUGCGCCGGGCCGGGGCGGGCUUCCCUUCGCAGCGGCCCGGUUUGAGCCGUUUACACGGGGCACCCCCCGCCAUUUGACGUCUCCUGCCCCGCCGUCCGCCCCCGUGGCCGGUGCCCCCGGGCCCCUCGGCGCGGCCGGUGCCGGCGGAGCGGUGCCGCGUUAGAGUCGCUGAAAGGGACGUGGUGCAAGGCUCUUUUCCUGCCGGCUUUACUUGAGGGACUCGGUGUUUACUCGGGGAAGCGGUGGCGGUGCGAAGGUGUUAUUCUCGGCUGCUCGCAAGAGUAAGGCUUAAAGGCGUGACCUUUAAGUGAUAUAUUGUGAAGAUCUCUGGCUAAGGCCUGCAGCUGCCGAGCACCUUGAAGCCUUGAUGGGGCAUGCCACCCGGGUUUUGCCACCCGGGUUUUGCCUUGGUUACGUGAUCUCCGAGGACUGGUGCAGUAGUCAGGAGCUCAGGACUCUGAAGCAGAGCAGCAGUGGUGCUGAUGAAGGUGGUGAUGGCAUCCAUCUUCCACCACUGCUUAGGGCUCAGAGCUCCAGGAGCCAAGGGGUGGAAAUUCCUCCUCUUUCUGAAGUAGUUUGUAACCAAAAUCUGCUUCCUUCGUGGCGAGUGCUGUAACUGCUGGUAUCUGGAGCGUUUUGCGGCAACUGAUUCUGAAUCCUUUUGAAGCAAUUUUUUUGCCUAAAAUGGCAAGUGGUCCGCUGGGAAAUGGACCAAAACACGUCCUUCUCACCUUCUGUUUUUAUACCACCAAAAAUGUCUACACAUUAGGUAUCGCAGUAUUAGCCUUCAGCCUACUUGCAAAUGUCGUUUCUACUGGAAUUUUUGUAUUUACCAAGUUCGUAAUCAGUGUUCCAGUGGGAUUUAGACUUCUAAAUAUUGUUUAAAGAUUUGGAGAUAAAACACCUGCCUCAUUACAAAAACACUGCUUGUCGUGUAUCUAAAUCUCCCAGCACCAAAAAUGCUUUUAAAAGAUUGGUCAUGAGCACCCUCAAGUAGGCAGUGGAGCACUUCCAACUCCUUUGAAAUAGAGGACUUUCACCAUGUGCCAGGAUCAAGUCUUGACAUUUAGAAGUAUGGCUGCCAAAUCUGCAGAUGCUUAAAUGCCUGUCAUCCAAGUGCUUGAAAGCUGGGAAGAACAGAACAACUCACUCUGCACAGCCGCAAGCAUCUCUGGAAACGUGAUGGGCGAGCUCAUCAAAAUCCACAUCCUGGAGACCGGUUAUAAAAUAAACACUAUACCUGAAGAAGUUGAAUUCUGAAAAUAACAGCAGGAUUCUUUGUUCCUUGUCACCCUGCAUGAGUUUGGAGUGAGGUACAUAGCUCCAAACGGAAAGGUAUUCAACACCUUAGAAGGCAAACUCAUACAGCUUUUUGGUCAAAGCAGUCCCUCUUCUUCUUGUGGAGGGCAGUUUACCAGUGGUGUUCCUUGAAGCUUCAACAGUGUUCACUCUUGCUUGCCGAUUAGUCUUCAGUGAAUUUGUGUGGCUAGAAGUAGGGCAGAGUUUGGUUUGCUAAGUGUUAGCAAGAUGUAUAUGUCUAUAUAUUUAACUUUCUAUCUACCUAAUCACUGUGGGUUUUUGCACAAUUUUGCAGCAUUCUGGCAAGAUCCAUGAAACCCAGAAGUUUAAGAGAAAGUGCACUGUAACUUGCCACUUUUAAAUGAUGUGAAUUAAG